GUGCCAGCAGCUGCGGUUAUACAAAAAAUACAAGUAAAUUUUAUUAAAUUAAGUUAAAUUGUAAAAUAUUUAAUAAUAAAGAAAUUUUUAGGUGAAAUUUUAAUUAUUUUAUUUUUAAAAAGAGAAAAAAUAUUGAAGCUAGAAAAUUUUGUUAAUAAACUAGGAUUAGAUACCCUAUUAUUAAAAAAUGUAUUUUAAAAAAGUUAGAGUAGUAAUAGGUAUGAUCUUGAAACUCAAAAAAUUUGGCGGUAUUUUAGUCUAUUCAGAGGAACCUGUGGUAUAAUCGAUAAUCCACGAUGAAUCUUACUUAUUUUUGUAUAUCAAUUUGUAUACCGCCGUUAUUUAAAAAUUUUUUGAAAAUAAUAAUUUUUAUAAUUUUUUAUUAAAGAAUAAGUCAGGUCAAGGUGCAGUUUAUAUAUAAGUAUUUCAUGGGUUACAAUAAAUUUAUUUAUACGGAUUAAAUUAUGAAAUUAAUUUAUGAAGGUGGAUUUGGUAGUAAAUUUUUAAAGAUUAAAGAGUUGAUUUUAGCUCUAAAAUAUG
rnacentral:rRNA from 1 species